CAGACCCGGAGGGGCGGGUUCCUCUGCCUAGGCAGUGAUGGCCAGCAGAGGGCGCACCAUCGGCUUUUCUGACUCAGGGCACCUGAGAGCAGGAAGGGCUUCUGUUGCUCCCAGAGGACUCAGGGCCUCUGCUGCUGCCUCAGGACAGAGAGCAGAGCUGCGUUUCCAGCGGGUUCUGCCGCCCGCCCCAGGGGAGACCUUGGGAGCUUUGCAGCAACUUGGCAUCUCCUGAGUCGCCAGAGAGAAGCUGCCAUGUUGUACUGAGUGCUGAGGAGGGGGCACUGGGUGGCUUCCCUGGGCUAGCUGGUUGCUGAGCAGCACAGGCCCUUGCAUUUUCUGGGCUGUUCCCGUGUUUCAUCCCUCCCCUUCCCGGACAGUAUUUGAACAAGACAUAUUUUACUAAAGGACUCGUGGGUUGCUGGGUCCCACGACAUCACCUCAUAGAUGCAGUCGGUGGUUUGUUCCAGAUUCAGGCUUGUUUCCAGGAAGAAACCCUGACAGAAAUUCAGAAGAACGGGAGCUGCAUUCAGUUAGGAUGUGGAUAUAUGAAAUGCUUGUCUCAGGACCUUCUAGAAGAAUGAGCUGGGACCCACGUUCCGAGUCCUGCUGGCACCAGAGACCGAGGAAGCUGAAAAUGACACUGAGAACUGGCGGCAAAGAAGAAUCAGCUGGCAGCUGCAAGCAACAAAUUGAACAAACACGGGAACGGCUGCAGCAGGCAGAGCUCACCUUUAGACACCAGAUCGCAGUUCAUAAGAAGAAUGCUCAGGACAACUAGGUAAGUGUUUUCUUGUUUCCUCCUCUUUCUUUGGUGCACAGUCUGGCACGACUGAAGGUGGAUGUGUCUUUUCUCCCCCAGCUCAAGACUCAGAUCUGGGACAGGGAGAUGGCGGAGCAGGGCAGGGAGGUCCUUACUUGAAAUACAGGUGUGGUCAUUUGACUUGCGUUUUUAUGGGUGUUUCCAGGGAUGACACCCGCACUGUUUGUUGUCUAGUAGACGACAUGGUGUUGCAACUCUUAUAGAAGUCCAUUAUUUUUC
rnacentral:lncRNA from 1 species